GGGGAAUAUUGCGCAAUGGGGGCAACCCUGACGCAGCCAUGCCGCGUGAAUGAAGAAGGCCUUCGGGUUGUAAAGUUCUUUCGGUAGCGAGGAAGGCAUUUAGUUUAAUAAACUAGGUGAUUGACGUUAACUACAGAAGAAGCACCGGCUAACUCCGUGCCAGCAGCCGCGGUAAUACGGAGGGUGCGAGCGUUAAUCGGAAUAACUGGGCGUAAAGGGCACGCAGGCGGUGACUUAAGUGAGGUGUGAAAGCCCCGGGCUUAACCUGGGAAUUGCAUUUCAUACUGGGUCGCUAGAGUACUUUAGGGAGGGGUAGAAUUCCACGUGUAGCGGUGAAAUGCGUAGAGAUGUGGAGGAAUACCGAAGGCGAAGGCAGCCCCUUGGGAAUGUACUGACGCUCAUGUGCGAAAGCGUGGGGAGCAAACAGGAUUAGAUACCCUGGUAGUCCACGCUGUAAACGAUGUCGAUUUGGGGGUUGAACUUUAGGUUUGGCGCCCGUAGCUAACGUGAUAAAUCGACCGCCUGGGGAGUACGGCCGCAAGGUUA
rnacentral:rRNA from 1 species